rnacentral:rRNA from 1 species
UGGGGAAUAUUGGGCAAUGGAGGGAACUCUGACCCAGCAACGCCGCGUGAAGGAUGAAGGUUUUCGGAUUGUAAACUUCUGUCGCGAGGGAUGAAGAAUGACGGUACCUCGUAAGAAAGCCCCGGCAAACUACGUGCCAGCAGCCGCGGUAAUACGUAGGGGGCGAGCGUUGUCCGGAAUGACUGGGCGUAAAGGGAGUGUAGGCGGCCUUUUAAGUUAUGUGUGAAAGCCCACGGCUCAACUGUGGAAUUGCACAUAAAACUGGGAGGCUGGAGUGCAGGAGAGGUAAGCGGAAUUUCCAGUGUAGCGGUGGAAUGCGUAGAUAUUGGGAAGAACACCGGAGGCGAAGGCGGCUUACUGGACUGUAACUGACGCUGAGGCUCGAAAGCGUGGGGAGCAA